rnacentral:rRNA from 1 species
CAUGCUAGUCGAACGACCAGAACUAUGUCUGGAAGUGGCACACUGCUCACGUAACACGUAGCUAACCUGCCCUUAGAACGAAGACAACCCCGAGAAAUUGGGGCUAAUCUCCGAUAGGUAUGAUGUCCUGGAAUGGUAUCAUGCUGAAAGGGGUCACGAACAUGUUUUGUGACCUGUCUAAGGAUGGGGCUGCGGCCGAUCAGGCAGUUGGUGGGGUAAAGGCCCACCAAACCUUUGACCGGUACGGGCCAUGAGAGUGGUAGCCCGGAGAUGGGCACUGAGACAAGGGCCCAGGCCCUACGGGGCGCAGCAGGCGCGAAACCUCCUCAAUGCACACACGUGUGAAGGGGUUACCUCGAGUGCUACCUGAAGAAGGUGGCUUUUCUUGGGUCUAAAACGCCCGAGGAAUAAGAGGGGGGCAAGACUGGUGUCAGCCGCCGCGGUAACACCAGCCCCUCGAGUGGUGGGGAUGAUUAUUUGGUCUAAAGCGUCCGUAGCCGGCUGAGUAAGUUUCCCGUUAAAUCCAGCGUCUCAAGCGUUGGACUGCGGGAAAUACUGCUCGGCUAGAGAGUGGGAGAGGUCAACGGUAUUCUGGGGGUAGGGGCGAAAUCCUUUGAUCCCCGGAGGACCACCAGUGGCGAAGGCUGUUGACAAGAACACGUCUGACGGUCAGGGACGAAAGCUGGGGUAGCGAACCGGAUUAGAUACCCGGGUAGUCCCAGCUGUAAACGAUGCAUGCUAGGUGUUAGGUUGGCCACGUGCCACCCUAGUGCCGCGGGGAAGCCGUUAAGCAUGCCACCUGGGGAGUACGGCCGCAAGGCUGAAACUUAAAGGAAUUGGCGGGGGAGCACCACCAGGCGUGAAGCCUGCGGUUUAAUUGGAGUCAACGCCGGGA